rnacentral:rRNA from 1 species
CGGCGGACGGGUGAGUAACGCGUGGGUAACCUACCCCAAAGUCCGGGAUAACAGCGGGAAACCGCUGCUAAUACCGGAUGCCUUUACCUUGGGGCAUCUUGAGGUAAAGAAAGGUAACGCUUUGGGAUGGGCCCGCGUCCCAUUAGCUAGUUGGUGAGGUAACGGCUCACCAAGGCGACGAUGGGUAGCCGGCCUGAGAGGGUGGACGGCCACACUGGGACUGAGACACGGCCCAGACUCCUACGGGAGGCAGCAGUAGGGAAUAUUGCGCAAUGGACGGAAGUCUGACGCAGCGACGCCGCGUGAGCGAUGAAGGUCUUCGGAUCGUAAAGCUCUGUCCUUGGGGAAGAAGGCGAAAGCUUGACGGUACCCAAGAAGAAAGCCCCGGCUAACUACGUGCCAUCAGCCGCGGUAAUACGUAGGGGGCGAGCGUUGUCCGGAAUUACUGGGCGUA